UCGCGAAUCAUUGGCAAUGUGCGCAAGCAUGACCAUGCCACGCCGCGUGGGCGAUGAAGGCCUUCGGGUUGUAAAGCCCUGUCAGGAGUGAGGAAUGGCGCGGGUCCACUCGCGUUUGACGUUAGCUCCAGAGGAAGUCACGGCUAACUCCGUGCCAGCAGCCGCGGUAAGACGGAGGUGGCGAACGCUGUUCGGAAUCACUGGGCUUAAAGGGCGUGUAGGCGGUCGUUCAAGUCGGGUGUGAAAUCCCUCGGCUCAACCGAGGAACUGCACUCGAUACUGUUCGACUAGAGUGCGGCAGGGGUAAGUGGAACUCCAGGUGUAGCGGUGAAAUGCGUAGAUAUCUGGAGGAACGCCGGUGGCGAAAGCGACUUACUGGGCCGCAACUGACGCUGAGGCGCGAAAGCUAGGGGAGCGAACGGGAUUAGAUACCCCCGUAGUCC
rnacentral:rRNA from 1 species